rnacentral:rRNA from 1 species
UAAUACGUACCACACGAACGUUAUUCGGAAUCACUGGGCUUAAAGGGUGCGUAGGCUGUGCAGAAAGUUGGGUGUGAAAUCCCUCGGCUUAACCGAGGAAUGGCGCUCAAAACUACUGUGCUCGAGAGAGACAGAGGUGAGCGGAACUUAGGGUGGAGCGGUGAAAUGCGUUGAUAUCCUAAGGAACACCGGUGGCGAAAGCGGCUCACUGGGUCUUUUCUGACGCUGAGGCACGAAAGCUAGGGGAGUGAACGGGAUUAGAUACCCCGGUAAUCCUAGCCGUAAACGAUGAGCACUGGGUUGAAGGGUCCUCCAUAGCCUUUCAGCCGUAGCAAAAGUGUUAAGUGCUCCGCCUGGGGAGUAUGGUCGCAAGGCUG